AAUAAACACUUUGGAGAAUAAAUUAGAUUAGGAAUACAAAGAAAUAUAUUUCAUCACUACCUUUGAGGUUAGUUUUGAUAACAUUUAAUUUUUCUCUACCAAAUUAUUCAACUAAAAUAUGAGAUAAUCAUCUAUGGUCAAAUGAUCUCAGACCCAUUAAAUCUUUAAAAUUCUGUGAUUUUUAGAAUUUGUUUCUACAAUCUAGAUAAUCACGAGGCUAAUAUAUUUGACAUAUGUAUUCUGUUUUAUUAGCAUAUAACAUUUUAUAUCACUUUAACUCAAAAGCUGCAUUCACGUCCAUUUGAUCCUUGAAAUCAAGCCAUUUUAUUCCAAAAUGAUAUCUAUCUGAAUUUGUAUGAGCAUUUAGUUCAAGGAAGUAGAACAAAAUGGCCAGGAAUCCAAAAUUGGGGUUGUGAAUUUUCACUAAAUCUUGUCAUUUAUUUUAAAUUCUUGACUAUGGACCCCAGUCUCAGCCAAUCUGAAUAAAUAAACUACUGGGCACCAUCAGGAUCCUGUGCAUUUCUGAAAAUGAGUAAGUGUACCCUCAUCACUCAUUUUUUGAAACUAAACUCAAAAUGCACAUCGUAGCAGAUUAGAAGAGUCAUUUGUACACAUAAGUAAUGCAAGCAUCUAUGCACAUCACUUUGCCUUCUGCUGAGUUUGAUUUAAGGUGCUUUAUUCUCAAGCUUUCAGUACAAUGACUAAAGGGAAUCCUACAAUGCUCGGAGGGCUACACUCCUGGUUAGACUCUUAACCUUCUGCCUAGGAUCUGAUGGAUAACUUGACAUUUUAAAAGCAUCCUUUUCAGUUCACAUUACUUGAAGCGAGAUGUUCAAGGCCAGAGUAAAUGAAAAUAGAUUCCACUUCUCUCUCAGAUUCAGUGUUGGAAAGACUGUAUGUUUCUCUCCCUUCUAGCAAUAAAUGAUUAAUGAUCAUCACCAUUGCCGGAGAUCCAGAGCUCCUCUUGUUGCCAUCCUUACACUGCUCACACUACCAAGAACCUCGUAUACCAAAGGAGAGUCAGGUGGGCUCUCCAGAUUUAGACAGAGAGCUUCAUGUUAAGCACCU
rnacentral:lncRNA from 1 species